AUGAUUUCUCUCACUCGGUUUCUCACCGAGCAACAGCAACACUCAGCCAUGGAGGAUUUUCUGGAAAGCUUCGGACAAAUAUGAUGAAUAACAAGGAUGAACUCAACUCUACAUCAAAUCCUAAUUUGAUUUUACCAGAAUUAUGAACAGUGGCGAAAAUCUGGAGGAAAACUUACAGCAACAAAUAAUUAACAGUGAUAUAAGAGUGGAAGUAGAAAGGACUUACCUGCGACAAGGAGGUGUUUGCCGGAUUAUUCAUCGAGGUUGAAGUUGAUGUGGGGCUGCAACUGAAAGUUGGAGGCUUUUGAUGAAGGUGAUGCCACAACACCUCUUUGGACUUAUGGGAGCGCCUUGAAGAUGGAACUUCAAGUUGUUGGAAGCUUGAAGAUGAAGAUCUUCAAGAAAGGUAUGAAGAACUACCUUUUCCUUCUUCCUUACUUUGUAACUAGAAUACUCACCUCCAAUAGAGAAUCUCUUGGCUUGAGAAUUUCUUCUUGCCAAGAGGUCUAUUGAACAAUAUAUGAGCAAUAGAGAGAAGAGAGAAAGCAAGAAUUUAAGUUGCUUUGGUGUGACAAAUACUAUGGAGAGCCCUUCUAUUUAUAGGCAAAGAAAAGGAUAUGUUAGGCAUUAUGUAACUUGGUAGUCAAGUUUGUGAUUCUUGUAAGAAAGGAAUAUCCAUUGUGACAUAAGCAAAAAGAUUCCACAUGACAUAAGCCAAAAGAUUCCUUUAUGACAUAAGCCAUGUGAGAAAAUUUUCAUGUCAUUUUAUGAUAUCUCUAAGUUGUAGAAAUUUAUGACAUAAAAAUCUCUCUUUGACUUUCUUUGACUUUCUUUGACUUUUGACUUGAUUUGAACUUUUGCUAAAUUCACCCCUUUUAUGUCUCUUUUUUCUUUCAUGUCAUAUGAGGACUUUUGAAGAAAACAUGAAGAAGGAGACUUGGACAUCA